UGGAUCAGGAAUUUCAGCUGAUAUGAU
rnacentral:piRNA from 1 species